AUUGAACGCUGGCGGCAGGCCUAACACAUGCAAGUCGAACGAGUGGCGGACGGGUGAGUAAUGUCUGGGAAACUGCCCGAUGGAGGGGGAUAACUACUGGAAACGGUAGCUAAUACCGCAUACCAUCGGAUGUGCCCAGAUGGGAUUAGCUUGUAGGUGAGGUAACGGCUCACCUAGGCGACGAUCCCGAGCUGGUCUGAGAGGAUGACCAGAGACACUGGAACUGAGCACCGGUCCAGACUCCUAUGUGAGGCGGCAGUGGGGAAUAUGGCUCAAUGGGCGCAUGCCUGAUGCAGUCAUGGCGCGUGUAGGAAGAAGGCCUUCGUGUUGUAAAUUACUGUCAGCGGGGAGGCGUUACCCGCAGAAGAAGCACCGGCUAACUCCGUGCCAGCCGCCGCGGUAAUUC
rnacentral:rRNA from 1 species